AACGAACGCUGGCGGCAGGCUUAACACAUGCAAGUCGAACGCUCCGCAAGGAGAGUGGCAGACGGGUGAGUAACGCGUGGGAACGUACCUUUCAGUUCGGAAUAACUCAGGGAAACUUGUGCUAAUACCGGAUACGCUCGAAAGAGGAAAGAUUUAUCGCUGAAAGAUCGGCCCGCGUUGGAUUAGCUAGUUGGUGGGGUAAUGGCCUACCAAGGCGACGAUCCAUAGCUGGUCUGAGAGGAUGAUCAGCCACACUGGGACUGAGACACGGCCCAGACUCCUACGGGAGGCAGCAGUGGGGAAUAUUGGACAAUGGGCGAAAGCCUGAUCCAGCCAUGCCGCGUGAGUGAUGAAGGCCCUAGGGUUGUAAAGCUCUUUCACCGAUGAAGAUAAUGACGGUAGUCGGAGAAGAAGCCCCGGCUAACUUCGUGCCAGCAGCCGCGGUAA
rnacentral:rRNA from 1 species